rnacentral:rRNA from 1 species
CCUACGGGAGGCAGCAGUAGGGAAUAUUGCUCAAUGGGGGAAACCCUGAAGCAGCAACGCCGCGUGGAGGAUGAAGGUUUUCGGAUUGUAAACUCCUUUUGUUAGAGAAGAUAAUGACGGUAUCUAACGAAUAAGCACCGGCUAACUCCGUGCCAGCAGCCGCGGUAAUACGGAGGGUGCAAGCGUUACUCGGAAUCACUGGGCGUAAAGAGCGCGUAGGCGGGAUAGCAAGUCAGAUGUGAAAUCCUAUGGCUUAACCAUAGAACUGCAUUUGAAACUGUUAUUCUAGAGUAUGGGAGAGGUAGGGGGAAUGGUUGGGGAAGGGGUAAAGGGCGGAGAGAUAAAGAGGAAUACGCAGUGCGAAGGCGACCUGCUGGAACAUAACUGACGCUGAUGCGCGAAAGCGUGGGGAGCAAACAGGAUUAGAUACCCUAGUAGUC